UGGGGAAUUUUGGACAAUGGGCGAAAGCCUGAUCCAGCAAUGCCGCGUGUGUGAAGAAGGCCUUCGGGUUGUAAAGCACUUUUGUCCGGAAAGAAAUGGCUCUGGUUAAUACCUGGGGUCGAUGACGGUACCGGAAGAAUAAGGACCGGCUAACUACGUGCCAGCAGCCGCGGUAAUACGUAGGGUCCAAGCGUUAAUCGGAAUUACUGGGCGUAAAGCGUGCGCAGGCGGUUGUGCAAGACCGAUGUGAAAUCCCGAGCUACUUGGAAUUGGCAUUGGUGACUGCACGGCUAGAGUGUGUCAGAGGGGGUAGAAUUCCACGUGUAGCAGUGAAUGCGUAGAGAUGUGGAGGAAUACCGAUGGCGAAGGCAGCCCCCUGGAGUAACACUGACGCUCAUGCACGAAAGCGUGGGGAGCAAACAGGAUUAGAUACCCUGGUAGUCCACGCCCUAAACGAUGUCAACUAGUUGUUGGGGAUUCAUUUCCUUAGUAACGUAGCUAACGCGUGAAGUUGGACCGCCUGGGGAGUACGGUCGCAAG
rnacentral:rRNA from 1 species